GACGAACGCUGGCGGCGUGCUUAACACAUGCAAGUCGAGCGGUAAGGCCCUUUCGGGGGUACACGAGCGGCGAACGGGUGAGUAACACGUGGGUGACCUGCCCUCAGCUCUGGGAUAAGCCUGGGAAACCGGGUCUAAUACCGGAUAUGACUCCAUGACGCAUGUUGUGGGGUGGAAAGCCUUGUGCGGCUGAGGAUGGGCCCGCGGCCUAUCAGCUUGUUGGUGGGGUGAUGGCCUACCAAGGCGACGACGGGUAGCCGGCCUGAGAGGGCGACCGGCCACACUGGGACUGAGACACGGCCCAGACUCCUACGGGAGGCAGCAGUGGGGAAUAUUGGACAAUGGGCGAAAGCCUGAUCCAGCCAUGCCGCGUGAGUGAUGAAGGCCUUAGGGUUGUAAAGCUCUUUACCCGGGAAGAUAAUGACGGUACCGGGAGAAUAAGCCCC
rnacentral:rRNA from 1 species